UGCACGUGAGUUUGGCUGAACUCCAGGAGUUGGUGAUGGACAGGGAGGCCUGGUGUGCUGCGAUUCAUGGGGUUGCAAAGAGUCGGACACGACUGAGUGACUGAACUGAACUGAACUGAGGGUAGAGGGUAGCAGAGUUUUAUCAGAGGUGAGUUUUUAUUUCCACUGUAUUUCUCAGAGUAUGUGUUGGAUCCUGAAGUAAAAUGUAUUUAUUGCUGUGGGUUAUGCUCCAAAAGUUUGAAAGAUGCUGCUUACCAUCGUGAGUCAACGUGGCCCGGCCCCACUGAGGUGAAAGUGCUGCUGUGGACAGUCCUUCAGGGUUUCCUGGGCUGCUCCCGGCUCAGCCCUGGGUCCCAGGACCCCCUCAGCCCAGGCAGACCAGGGUGGUUGCUCCCCCUACUCUGCCCCAUUGGGGGUUCCCUGGCAGCCUGUGACUUACAAGUGAUUAUGUGCCAAACUCUGUGUGGUUUUGUGGAAUGCUGUAGGAUCUUGCUGGAAACAACAGCCAUCCCCAGGUGAGGCUGCUGAAGUAGCCUGGUCAACCCUGCUUCUCUGAAACUAGCGCCUCGGCCUGAGGCUGGGCCUGCUGAGGGCAGACGGGGGUGCGGGGCUCUGGGCCCAGAUGCAGUUCACACCCCCAGGGAGCCUUUGGCGGUCACCUUUCUCUACCCGGUUUCCUUAUCUGGGAUGCAGCACAGAUAAGGGUCGUGGGAGAGAAGGGGCUGCGGUCUCCUUGUUGGUGUGUCUGGCUGCAGGGGCUGCUGCUGCUCAGCAGAUGCUGGUUCAGCCCGGGGCGUCUGCGCACUCAGCUCUAGCACAAGAGCCGCGCGGGGCGUCGCUCGCCAGAGGCGCCUCGUGGGGCUGAGUAUGAGGAGGCCGUGGCUCUCGGACGGCAACCGUGCUGCGCUCAGGAGCGAGGCAGCUCCCCAACCCGCAGGCCUCAUGGGCUGGAGCACAUGCUCUGCACCUGUUUGGGAUGCAGCGUGGGCCCGGCCCUGGGCCAACUGCUGGGACCAUCAGAUUCAGAGGCGUGCCCACCAGGGCCAGUGUGGCUGUGUGUGGAGCCCAUUGGUUGGGUGCCUGAGAAGUCCUGGCCGGCGCUGACCUCGCGCUCUGGCGGUGCCAGACCCCCUCGUGCCAGCCAACCGGUGCUGACCUCGCGCUCUGGCGGUGCCAGACCGCCUCAUGCCAGCCGGCCGGCACUGACCUCACGCUCUGGCGGUGCCGGACCCCUCAUGCCAGCCGGUGACGUGUCUUCCGGGAGCAGCAAGACGGUGCUGUCCUGAAACCCGAAGAGCCGCGCGGCUUCAGGGGCCCGGCCAGAGCUCCGGGGGUGUGUCUGCUUGGCCCGAGUGGCCCUGGCACCGUGUGCUCAGCUGCCCCGCAGGCACGCAGAGCUCCCUGGAAGGGCAAGGUUGCCGGGCAGACGGAAUGCCACAGAUGCCCCUUGUGUCCGUUAACAGAAGGGCCGUUGUACCGGAGGUGGAGAUAAACAUGCCACGACAGGAAAGUUUACAUUUUUAGAAUUUGCGGAUCACUAGCUUCUGUUCAGAACAUUGUUUUUCCUUUCUGGCUGAUAAGGUAUUUGUUAGAAAACUACGUAAGCUGGCUUAGACUGUAUUCUAAAGAUCUGAAACCCAGACGCAAAGGUCUCCUUUGCUGCAGCGACCUCCUCGUGAAGUCACAGUUCAUGGGGCUUCCUUCCCAGGCACUGGCACUGGCAGGGCCGUGGGGCUCGGGGUUCAGGGCAGAGCCCCUGCUCGCUCCCCUGUAGAGCUCCAGGAGGACUUUUAACCUUAUCAUUGGGACAAAGACUCGGAUUUUGCAAAGCCCGAUCGAAGUCUCCUUUUCAUAUCUACUCAUCUCCCAAGCAGAUUUUCUUAACCAAAUAGGUCUGAACACACUGCAAGCUGAUUUUAAGUUGAGGCAGAACAACCGUGAGAAGACUGUUCCUGGGAGGGUCAGUGGUGGCUUCUUUUGGCAGGAAGCAGCCAGCAGGAAGGGCCUGGACAGGGCAGAAAGGGGCAAGGGAGGUGGGUGCGGGCGUGAGGUGCCGAGAGUCGGCUGCGGACACAGAGCCCUCUCCAUCGGUGGUGAGCUGUGGACACAGGGCCCCCUCCAUCGGGGCUGAGCUGUGGACACAGGGCCCUCUCCAUCGGGGCUGAGCUGGGGACACAGAGCCCCCUCUAUCGGACGCAGAGCCCCCUCCAAGGGGGCUGAGCUGGGGACACAGGGCCCCCUCCAUCAGGCCUGAGUCGCGGGCUCUGCGGGGCCUGGGACCCUCCCUGUUAGCCUCCCACCUUCUGCUUCUGUGACUCCCCAAGUCUCCGUGUAAGACUGACCAUCAGUUGCCGUUUGCUGAAACAUCAAAGUUCCCACGGCUUUCAGCAUGCUGGGCAGCAGGGCUUGGAGCUGGCAUCUCCCUGGAGUGUAGUGACACGUGGUGGCCUGACCUCCACUUGCUGCCCAGGUCACUGGAUGCGCACGCACAGCUGCAGCGGCACGGAGCCCGUUGGUGAGGGGAUGCGGCCUCCAUGGGCCCGUGGGCUGCCAGGUGCCGGGAACGUGUGGCUGACCGCAGCUGCCUGUGCAGGGUGCAGGGGAUGGCCUGUUUUUACCGUGUUCUUGCAUCUCUGCGCCUGUUCUGUCUUUUGCUGCAAGCACGAGUUACUGCUACAACAAGCCCGUGAGUAUCGAAUGUUGGAGCCCCUGCUGCUGGGGAGGCCCGGGUGCAGAGAGAGGGGCCUCUGCAGAUGUGGAGGCCAGGCUGUGAGACCCUCCCAGGCUUCAUGCUUGGAGGAAGCUCCUCCCUGGUGUCGAGGAGGCUGAGCAUGUGGUGUUGCCUGAGCCAGUGUCUCCAGGCAGUCGCGCCCAGCCUCAGAGGUGCUCAGGGCUGCCUGUCUGUUGGGCCGAAUUACUGGGUGGCUCUGUCUGUAACAGCAUCAGGCUCUUUGAAAAGUCGAACGACUUGGUCUCUGCUGAGGCCAGGGAUGGGCACCCGGCCAGGUGCCAGGCCUGCCGUGUCACUGAUGGUUCAGCUGACAGAAAGGAGGGGUCAUGACAAGACAGCAGUGGCAUCCCCUGAGCUCGUCCCCCUCUUGGGUGACGGGUACCCUCAGUGCCCAGGCGGGUGGGCCAGGCGGGGUCCUAGGUGGCUCCUCCCUGCUGACCGUCUGAUGAGCUGUGGCCCGAGCCUCCUCCCGACUCACGCCAGCGUCUCCCCUUGUGGGGACCCAGGUCGGUCCUUCGUGGCCAGAACUUGUGCAGCUAUAGGAAGCAGGGAGGGUGACGCUUGGGUGUCUCGGGCUGAUCUGCCUUUCAAGGCUCGUCUAACAGCGUCAUGGGGAAGGCUGCCUGAGGACCCCGGAGUCGUGUGCAGCCUCAGUUUUGAGCCCACCACCUGCUGACAGAAACUGAAUCUGGGAUUAUGAACACAGGUGAGAUGCAGACAAAGGACUGUUUCCUAGAUGAGCUGGUCUGAACCUCGACCUUUAAACAAACCGACGAACUUUGCUUUAGUUAGUGAAAAAAAACCUGGUUCGGUGAGAGCUUGAAGACACCUAGAAAUCUUCCUCUGAGGAGGAUCAAAAACGUUUCCAGUAGCCACGGGAGCCCCUGGGGUUGACCAGCUGCUUUAACAUUUGUGGAGUUGGUAUCACCUUCAAGAACAGGCCAGGCGAGCGGUGACCUGUGAGGCCGUCCCCAUGCAGCCAAGACACCAGUGCGUGAACUUGGGUUCGUUUCCUGAGGUCAGCAGAGCCGGAAGGCCCAUCUCUGCAGGCUCCUGACCCCAGGCUGCCUCCGGUGCGGUUUGUCUCUCUGUGGGCGUGACACGCUGUAGUUUUAAAAAUUUCAAAACCUGACUCUCACGCAGAUGCAGAAUGAACAAGUGUCAAAUAUUUAUUCUCUCAUUAACAAGGGAAUCAGAGAGUUAAGUUGUUCCAAGAGCUUUUUAAGCACCUGGGUGUCCACAGCCGCUGAGGGGUAUGUGUGCAGGGCUGCAGGGCUGGAUACAAGCUGGUGUGUGUCCCUCAGUGUCUUGUGGGAGGAAGUUAUUUGCCCCUUUGCCACUAAAGCUCUGAGCCCACAGUGACUCUGCAGCCCGACUCUGUGACCCACAGGGCGCUGGGCCCAGGUGAAGGCCUGGGGGGCUGGGCAAAGGGACAGGCUGACCGUGGGGUCUCACCUCACGCUCUCUGGCCAGAUCUCCAAGUCUGGGGUAUUUUUCUCAACACAGAUGGCGCUAUCCUCUCUGAGAAGAGGCCGCCGUACUAUCAGACAAUGUGGUGUGUCCUCAGGUAGCGUUUAGCCCACUAUGGCUGGUGACUGGAGCCAUGACUCCUGGUAACAGGAAAGCUGGUUCACAGGCCUGACCCCCUCACAGUGAGGUCCCCCAUUCACGAAGCCCCGGGGGUCAGUGCUCACCCAGAACACCUGCGGAGUGGGCCUGCAGGUGCCUCCCUGAGGACCACUCAUCCUCAGAGUGGGCCUGCUUCCCGAACAGUUCUUUAUUUGAUGCUUAGUGGAGAGCAAGAACAUUCUUGUUGGAAUUUCUGUUUGGAAGCCAAGAAUAGAUCUGUAGGCUGUUGCAUCUGUAAAACGAAUUCCAGGUGGUGAAUCUGGUCCCAUUAGACUCCACAGUUCAUGGUGCCCACCUUGGCCGCUCCAUCCCUGGCGGUGUACUGUGGGAUUUGCUGGUGUUUGGUGCUCAGGGAACCUCAGACCUGGAGGUGGGCCCUCCCGAUCAGGGCAGGUGGGUGCUGGCCGGGGAUGUGAGGCUGCGCACGCUCCCCCAACCCAUCCUGGCCAUCUGCGAGCAGGAGGAGAGCCUUGGUGUCUGCUCCCCUCCCUGAAAGUCACAAGGAUCUUGGGGCUUGGACGUGGAGGUGACUCCAUGGUACAGGCCAGCCACACCCAUCUUCACAGGUGGCGCUGUGUCCCCUGGGGAGGCCUGUCUGUCCUCUGUCCAGGGCAUGUCUCCCGGGUGGCACCCUGGUAUUUAGUCACCACCCCCCACCCCUUCCCUCUGCAACUCGUGAAGCCCAAGCUUGCAAGCAGCCUGUUUGCUUGAUGAGGACAUUUCCCGGGAGCUGAGCAGGGUGGGGUAACUGGUCUCCAAACGGCCGGCUUCCAGGUAACCAUCCCAGGUGAGUGAGAACCAAGGCUCUGUGCUCGGUGGGGGCGGCACUCACUCCAGAAUACAGAGCAAGGCCUUCCUCCCGGCCAGGGUGUUGAGCUCUGGGAUGUGUGUGAUUCAUGUUCCACGUGAAAUCACAUCUCCUUCUCCUGCUUUUUAUCGAAAGAGGCAAGGGAAACAACCAAUUAGUUAUGGUUGCUCUCGCUGCCAGACGCUCUGUGAUCAUCGAGGAUGGAGCUGAGCAGGGCCUGGACACCCUCCAUCCCUCGGGCCCCGAGGCGUGGAGGCCGGUGUUCUGGUGCUGAGAAUGAGCUCAUGCCGUCCAGGGAUUGAACAGAACAGAUGACUUGCUGGCCUUGGCUCGAUGCGCGUGUGGUUUCCAAGCGUGAGGCGGGUGGCCUGGCGCUGCCGCAAUGUGGGGGGACGCAGAGGCGGACGCGGGCCCGAGCUGCUGCCCCUUCUCCAGGCUGCUGCCCUCCCUCCACCCAGCAGGCUCCCCACGGGAGGCUGGCACCCCCAUCUGCCGCCUGCUGGUCAGGGAUCACGGCAUUGCAGAGGGACUUCACGGGUGAACAGCCCAGGACCCUGUGUGCGAAUCGAGUGCAUCUUUGUAAACUGGAGAGGACUUGAGAAUCGCUGAGCAUUGUGUUGGUGCUGGAAAUCCCAGGUCCGUGGUGUCCGAGGACCACAGCGUCCCCCGGGAGGUGGGGGACCCAGCCUCCUCUUGAGAGUCUGUUGCAUUCUGAGCGCUUUCAUCACACUAUUGCUUUAUUCCCAUUUUGCAGACAGGGCGUGUGAGGCUCAGAGAGGGUGGGCGUCUUGCCUGGGGUCAGAGGCAGAAGUGGCCGAGCUGAGUCGGAAUCCAGUUCGGCGUCUUUCCGGUCUUGCAGUGGCUGCAGGUCCGUGGGGGGUGGAUGAGCUGCUGCCAUGUUUCACGUGAGGAGAAAGCGCCGUGCCUCUGCUGGGGAGGCGUCCUGUUCCUGACGGGUCCACGUUGUCCGCUCGGUAUUAAGGUCACUUGUUCUCCACGUGACACCUUUAGAAAGGCAAUCAUUCACUGAGCAUAUGGACCACGUUUUGUUUGAGUCUUCUCAGUUGAGGGACACCUGGGCUGCGUCUGCUCUUCAGCUGUUGUGAGCGAUGCUGGUGUGAAUGCUGACGUGUCCACUCUAUUUCUUGGAUUUCCCACAUGUUCCCAUAAACACGGCUGUGUCAUUUUUCAGUUAAUGGUUCAUUGUUUUAGAAGUGCAUUUUGAAAAUAUUAUCAGUGCCCUUAUUUCCAUUCCAUUAAAUUCAAUAUGGUUAAAUUACAUAAAUUUUUUUGAUAUAAAUAAAAUUUUUAAACUGAUAAUAUUGUGAGUUUCAAUGUACUUGCUUUUCAAUUUUUCAGUAUCUUUCUCAAAGACUUCUAAUGUUCCAGAAAAACUACUGAACACACACACACGCACAUGUCCAGAGGUGCGUGUUCUUGCUUCUGUCUCAGGCCCCGACGUGUCCCUGCUGGCUCUCACUGCCUGGUCCUGGGGGCACCGGGGGGUUGGAGGAAGCAAAGCAUCAUCGUCACCAUGGUAAUUAUCAAUAACUGGUUUCUGCCAGGGCCCACAGGUGUCUUCUCGACUCUGAAGGGAGCGCCUGCAGGAAGCUCAGCUGUUUGAGCUUGGUGCUGGGCCCCAGUGGCUUCGCGGUGGUGUGGGCCGUGGGCACCACGGUGCCGUCUCGUCCCUCCUCGGGGGCGCCUGCUCGCCCCGCGCCUCCGUCCUGUGGCUCAGCUCUCACACGGUCUCGGCCCGCACAGCCCGGCCCCACUCCUGGCGCUCCGGCCUUGGGUACCCAGCAGCCACAGGCUGUCCCUGGGGCCCGUGGCCUCCGUGCCCAGCAGUGCCCAUGUCUGGCUACGACUCAGGCAACCCCUUCCCAGGCCACUCGGCCUCCUGGGCCCCGAGGCCCUGGGGGCAGCUGUUUACCUGAGGUCUUGACAUUUGGCUGGGGCUGCAGAAAUCGGGGUUCUGCCUGACCCAAGUCUCCACCUGACUUCCUGUUUCUGGUUCUGAGAUUUGGGCCAAAGGCCGCAGAGCGAGUUAUAAAGGACCGUUUGACCUCGCUGACACGGCAGGGGCCUGAGAGGAAGCGCUGCGGCGUGUUUAAGCGGGAGAGCGGCUGCAGGUCCCACGGCCUGUCUGGCACGUGGCCCAGCCCAGCGCCACCGCCCCCUAGUAGUGACGGAGCCCCGAGGGGUGACAGGCCACCCAUGCGGCCCCCGAUGCGCCCUCGGUCUUUCUAAUCAAGACCUGAGACCCGUCUCUGGGGCUGGAAUGCGGCAGAGGAAACGCUUUUGUGCAGCCCAGCUUAUCUAAUUUCCCAGCUUGUUGCUCUGUUUUAUCAAAACAGGCCACUUCCUGUGUUACACAAGGCGGGGAGGUGUGAGUGGGCCCGGGCAGUGGCCCGAGCGAAAGCCCGGUGUCGGAGGAGGCGGGCCUCUGCCCCUGGUCUGGACGGGACGGGCGGCGUGGGGCUUGGACUACGCAGUCAUCAAAAAUCAUCUCAACUGUCACUUCGUGCUUAGUCGCUCAGUUGUGUCUGACUCUUGCAACCCCACGGACUGUAGCCCGCCAGGCUCCUCUGUCCAUGGGAUUCUCCAGCCCCAGGAACCAGAUGGCUGCGUGGACCUCAUCCUGCAGUGACACCCCAGCGCAUGGGGUGAAAGAGGGGGAGAAGAAAAGGGAGCCCGGCAGGACGCGAGACUGGAGGGGCAGCAUGGGCCAGAGCCCCGGUCUGGUGGGCAUCGUCCCAGCACCUGGAGGACAGGUAAGUGUGGGUGUCACACGGGGGUGGUCCCGAGGAGGUUCUCUCCGAGGAAGCAGCUUGGGCCAGCCCAGCAGCUGCCGGCCUUCUCUGCAGAAGCCGCCUUGGCCGGUGCUGGGAGUGUGACCACCUGCAUGGCCCUGGGGCCCGGCAGGGUCGGGGGACGGCCCAGUCGACACAGCUCGGAUUCAGGCAGGAAACGGGCUCUGAAGGCGGGAGGGUCCCGAAAUCACAGCAGUGAGAACCUUCCACCCUGAGUGUCCUGAGGACAGAAGCUCUGCCGAAGCCCGUCCCAGAAAAGCGCGUGGAAGGAAGUUCUCGGCUCCAGGCUGGAGCAGACUGGCUUUUGCCCAGACCUGGAGGCCCAGCUGCCCUAGGGCCUCAGCGCGGGGCUCGCAGGGGUGUGGUGUCCGGCCCACUGCCUGUCACGCGGACGGGCACUCUCCACUGGCAGCUGCCGGUUCAGGCUGUGCUGCCUUGUCAUUAAUCCUCACACGGACCUUCGAGGCCCAUCCUGACAUGCCUGAGCUCACUCCUUCUCCUGGAGGGUCAUCUCUGAGCCCUAAGAGACGAUGGCCCCCAAGGCCACCAGGUCAGCACCCACUUUGGCUGUGGCUUGGAGGGCGUGCCCAGACCUGCUGAGCUCUGCAGGGUCGUUGUCAGCUCACCCUUUCAUGACCAAGGUGGGCGGAGGAUGCGCCCUGGCCUCCUGAGCUCUGCAGGGUCAUUGUGGCCCAGCAGAGUAGCGUGUGGAAUGUGUGUAUUUAGUUCCUGGCUCGUAGCAAGUGCUUGAUAAACUUCAGAGAUCGUCCCAAAUAUUUCUAGCGCUCUGAGGCCGAGUGUUUAAAACUGCAUCUGGUUCAUCUUAGAGCCUCUGCAGCCAAUCCCACCUCCGCCUUGGUUUAAACUUGGGCCUGGGAGCCGACCCCAAGGGGUUCCUGCAGGACAGAGAACCCCUUUCCACCUGUCAUGGGGAGGCCUGGGGUCUCUGGCCGAGCUGCGAGCAGCCCUCAGUGGUGGGUGGGCGACCAGACUGAAACCACACAGCUGGUAAGUGCCUGUGUCCAGGCCUUGACUGAGGCUGACCUGCGCCUGUUGCAGAAGACUUGAGAGUCCCUGGGGCAGCAAGGAGAUCCAACCAGUCCAACCUAAAGGAAAUCAGUCCUGAAUAUUCAUUGGAAGGACUGAUGUUGAAGCUGAAACUCCAGUACUCUGGCCUCCUGAU